rnacentral:lncRNA from 1 species
GUUAGGCAUUCAGUCCUUCUUCCCCCACCGGGGGCUGCUCCCAUCUUCUCUCAGGCGGAAUCCCACAGAAAUAAAAGAAGGGAGAGAAACAUUUUGGACAUUUUGGGAAUGAUUUUCCAAAGGAAGGAAUCGAUCUCAGGGGAAUCACAAGAGGAAGAGAAGAAAGAGAUGGGAGCCCGCUGCUGUGCUGCUACUAUCGUCCACCACUGCAUGGAAGCCUAAGCUCUUCACUAGGGCUGGAUGCAACCCUGACAAAGGG